ensembl:lncRNA
UGAAUCAUCAAGUUUUCAAUGUAGAUAAAGUUUCCUAAUGUUGAUGAGACAUUCUUUGUGGGGACUGUGGAUAUUUAGAAUUUUUAGGAUUACCCACCAGAUGCCUAUUUCAUCACAUAUUUAAUCUUUCGGAAACACAUUUGAUCAGCUCAUUUGCUGACUGAAGCCUCAUUGGUUGUCUGUUAACUGAAAUGGUGUAUAAAAAGCAGAUUUUUGCUGUUUAGCUACAACCCAGCAUCAAUGUCAGCCUCAGAACAAUCUUUUUCUUGAACAGGAUUUCCAGAUGACCAUGAAACUACUAGUCCUAGUGGUGUGCCUGAUUGGACUGUGUUCCUCCAUUCCUGUGUCUAAGAAACAUGAUAGAGAGGAGCGCUCUUCGAGUCAUGAGGGGUAUAGGGGUUUUGGGGGGUUCUACCCCUAUCCUCAGUACUUCCCACCAGCUCCCCAGGGUGACUCUGACCUCAUGGCCCUGCUGCCCUUGCUAUUGGCAAGACCAGUUCCUGCACCAGUCCCUGCCCCACCUGCCCCAUCUAUCCUAUCUUACUUAACUUCCUUUCUUGGAAGGUAAUAGAAAUUAGAUGGUCUUUGAUGGAAGACUGGCUAGAAAAUUUACUACAAUGUCAACUCUAUUGCAAAGCUAAGAAUUCCACUAAAAAUAAAUAAAUACAAUUUAGACUGCUCUUCAUGGAUGAUUUUUGAAAGGAGUGGAGCAGCACUUCUCCCUUUUUUAUAUUUUGUGCUUUAUUUACGCAAUAGUAAAGUUGUGAUAAACAGAAAAGAUGGGAGUGUUAGCCAAAUGGCUAAAACCCAUAAUCCUGUGGCUGUACUCAGUUGGAAUAUACAAGCCACUUUUAAGUGUUUGUCUUUGUCUGUUCUGUUCUGUGCUUCACAGAAUUUAGAAACAAUUCUAUUUUAGAUGUUUUCAGAACAUGUCUAGACAUGAAACCUCUCAAACAUAAGUUUAAUGCUCUAAAACGUUUGCACCACAAAAAAGAAUAAAAGUUGGACAGUUCGACUAUGUAAAUGUAAAUUAAAUAAUUGCAAUAAUAAUUUGUAUACAGUUAAUAGAUAAUUUAUAUCAUUACAAAAUGCAACUGUCAUCAAAAGAUGACCAUUACGAUCUGCCAGAACAUUAUUUGUUGUAUAACAACCUGAAUUACUGAGAAGUUGAAAACAUGAGUGGACAUGAAACUCAGGUGUGGGCUCUACAAUGUUCAAACAAGAUUGUGAAGAAAUUGCCAUUACUAGGUGAACAGGAAUGGCACUGAAGACCUGUCAUGACACUGUGGUAUACUGGUGCAAUAUAAAGCAAUAUAUCAUUAUUGACAUAUAAUGAAUGUAGUUUUUGAGAGAUUACAUUUUUUAUCGUUAACACAAACAGAUGUUUUAGGUCAUUUUGAGCCUUUUGUGUAGUAUGACUUUAGAUAGAAUUUACAUGUCAAAGAGUCACACAAUAAUGAGGACACACACAAUAAUUAAACAAUUAUUAUUAAAUGCUUUGUAUGUAUCUUUAUUACUGUAAUCAUGAAGUGCAAUAAUAGUAUUGAAAAUAAUAUGAACCAACAAACUGGUUAACCAUUUACAAUUUUCUAAUUCAUUAUACUGAACCCAUCACACCCUUCUUUGGAAAAUCCUUUACAUCCAUUUUGCUGUCAUGUCAAACUGGUAGGCUGCAACAAAGAUGUUGUAGCGUACCCCUUCAGAUUUAGGCUGAAAUCAAAAACUCUAUUUAGGGAAUAUGUAAAUCAUAAAUAAAUUAAUUUAUUGGUAGUUAUCUUUAAAUGGCAGAACAUUAGCGACACAACUCCUGUGUCAUUAAUGGUUGGCCCAUUUCACAUGGUUUUUGUAGCCUUUAUUAUACCUUGUGAUGGCC